ACCGACCGAGUUAUAGGCAAAACUUGGGGCAAAAAUGAGGAAAAUUUUACAUUUUCUCAAACAGGGUAAGGAACUUGGUUCCUCGAAUAACUUCCGGCACGGGCACCUGAGAGCAUGGCCGUCCAAGAAGAAAAUGUAGCCAUUGGUGCCAUCUAUCGACCACAGGUUAAAGAUUGGCGAUCCGUUAGAUACCGACCGAGUUAUAGGCAAAACUUGGUGCAAAAAUGAGGAAAAUUUUACAUUUUCUCAAACAGGGUAAGGAACUUGGUUCCUCGAAUAACUUCCGGCACGGACAUCUGAGGGCAUGGCCGUCUGAGAAGAAAAUGUAGCCAUUGGUGCCAUCUAUCGAUCACAGGUUAAAGAUUGGCGAUCCGUUAGAUACCGACCGAGUUAUAGGCAAAACUUGGGGCAAAAAUGAGCCUUAGUAAAUUUUCAUUUUUUGAAUAUUUUGAUUUUUUUAUUAUUUUUCACUCAUUUUGUUAUUUAAAGCAUUACUUGAGUGAAAAGAAACACAUUGCAACCAAUUGGCAUUAAAAUAAAUCAAUUUCAUUUUUUUUGCAAAAUUUCCCAAAAAAAACGUAAGGGGUAAGCCUUAUGAAAUUUUCGAGUUGAAAAUUUUAAAAAAAAAUUUUCUGAUUUUUUAUAAUGUUUUUAGUUUAAAGCAUUAUUUGAGUGAAAAGAAACACAUUGCAACAAAUUUGCAUGAAAAUAUAUCACAUUUAUAAAGUUUGCUAAAUUGCUCAAAAAUGAGGAAAAUUUUACAUUUUCUCAAACAGGGUAAGGAACUUGGUUCCUCGAAUAACUUCCGGCACAGACACCUGAGAGCAUGGCUGUCGAAGAAGAAAAUGUAGCCAUUGGUGCCAUCUAUCGACCACAGGUUAAAGAUUGGCGAUCCGUUAGAUACCGACCGAGUUAUAUGCAAAACUUGGUGCAAAAAUGAGCCUUAGUAAAUUUUCAUUUUUUGAAUAUUUUGAUUUUUUUAUUAUUUUUCACUCGUUUUUUUAUUUAAAGCAUUACUUGAGUGAAAAGAAACACAUUGCAACCAAUUGGCAUUAAAAUAAAUCAAUUUCAUUUUUUUUGCAAAAUUUCCCAAAAAAAACGUAAGGGGUAAGCCUUAUGAAAUUUUCGAGUUGAAAAUUUUUAAAAAUUUUUUUUCUGAUUUUUUAUUAUGGUUUUAGUUUAAAGCAUUAUUUGAGUGAAAAGAAACACAUUGCAACAAAUUUGCAUGAAAAUAUAUCACAUUUAUAAAGUUUGCUAAAUUGCUCAAAAAUGAGGAAAAUUUUACAUUUUCUCAAACAGGGUAAGGAACUUGGUUCCUCGAAUAACUUCCGGCACAGACACCUGAGAGCAUGGCUGUCGAAGAAGAAAAUGUAGCCAUUGGUGCCAUCUAUCGACCACAGGUUAAAGAUUGGCGAUCCGUUAGAUACCGACCGAGUUAUAGGCAAAACUUGGGGCAAAAAUGAGCCUUAGUAAAUUUUCAUUUUUUGAAUAUUUUGAUUUUUUUAUUAUUUUUCACUCAUUUUGUUAUUUAAAGCAUUACUUGAGUGAAAAGAAACACAUUGCAACCAAUUGGCAUUAAAAUAAAUCAAUUUCAUUUUUUUUGCAAAAUUUCCCAAAAAAAACGUAAGGGGUAAGCCUUAUGAAAUUUUCGAGUUGAAAAUUUAAAAAAAAAUUUUUUCUGAUUUUUUAUUAUGUUUUUAGUUUAAAGCAUUAGUUGAGUGAAAAGAAACACAUUGCAACAAAUUUGCAUGAAAAUAUAUCACAUUUAUAAAGUUUGCUAAAUUGCUCAAAAAUGAGGAAAAUUUUACAUUUUCUCAAACAGGGUAAGGAACUUGGUUCCUCGAAUAACUUCCGGCACGGGCACCUGAGAGCAUGGCCGUCCAAGAAGAAAAUGUAGCCAUUGGUGCCAUCUAUCG